GAUGAACGUUGGCGGCGUGCCUAAUACAUGCAAGUCGAGCGAACGGACGAGAAGCUUGCUUCUCUGAUGUUAGCGGCGGACGGGUGAGUAACACGUGGAUAACCUACCUAUAAGACUGGGAUAACUUCGGGAAACCGGAGCUAAUACCGGAUGAUAUUUUGAACCGCAUGGUUCAAAAGUGAAAGACGGUCUUGCUGUCACUUAUAGAUGGAUCCGCGCUGCAUUAGCUAGUUGGUAAGGUAACGGCUUACCAAGGCAACGAUGCAUAGCCGACCUGAGAGGGUGAUCGGCCACACUGGAACUGAGACACGGUCCAGACUCCUACGGGAGGCAGCAGUAGGGAAUCUUCCGCAAUGGGCGAAAGCCUGACGGAGCAACGCCGCGUGAGUGAUGAAGGUCUUCGGAUCGUAAAACUCUGUUAUUAGGGAAGAACAUAUGUGUAAGUAACUGUGCACAUCUUGACGGUACCUAAUCAGAAAGCCACGGCUAACUACGUG
rnacentral:rRNA from 1 species